GACGGAGGAUGCAAGCGUUAUCCGGAAUGAUUGGGCGUAAAGCGUCCGCAGGUGGCAGUUCAAGUCUGCUGUCAAAGACCGGGGCUUAACUUCGGAAAGGCAGUGGAAACUGAACAGCUAGAGUAUGGUAGGGGCAGAGGGAAUUCCUGGUGUAGCGGUGAAAUGCGUAGAGAUCAGGAAGAACAUCGGUGGCGAAGGCAGCUCGCUAGGACGGUACUGACGCUGAGGCGCGAAAGCGUGGGGAGCGAACAGG
rnacentral:rRNA from 1 species